rnacentral:tRNA from 1 species
GCCCCGGCAGCGCGGGCGGGCGUUGGCGGUGCUGACGCUGGGCCUGCCGAUCGGUUCGGCGCUGGGGCU